AACGAACGCUGGCGGCAUGCCUAACACAUGCAAGUCGAACGAGACCUUCGGGUCUAGUGGCGCACGGGUGCGUAACGCGUGGGAACCUGCCCUUAGGUUCGGAAUAACUCCCCGAAAGGGAUGCUAAUACCGGAUAAUGUCUUCGGACCAAAGAUUUAUCGCCUUUGGAUGGGCCCGCGUUGGAUUAGCUAGUUGGUAGGGUAAAAGCCUACCAAGGCGACGAUCCAUAGCUGGUCUGAGAGGAUGAUCAGCCACACUGGGACUGAGACACGGCCCAGACUCCUACGGGAGGCAGCAGUGGGGAAUAUUGGACAAUGGGCGAAAGCCUGAUCCAGCAAUGCCGCGUGAGUGAUGAAGGCCUUAGGGUUGUAAAGCUCUUUUACCCGGGAUGAUAAUGACAGUACCGGGAGAAUAAGCGCCGGCUAACUCCGUG
rnacentral:rRNA from 1 species